AGAGUUUGAUCUGGCUCAGAAUCAACGCUGGCGGCGUGCCUAACACAUGCAAGUCGAACGCGAAAGCCCCUUCGGGGGUAAGUAGAGUGGCGUCCGGGUGAGUAACACGUGGGUAAUCUACCUUCGGGUGGGGAAUAACUCAGGGAAACUUGAGCUAAUACCGCAUAAUGCAGCGGCACCUAAUGGUGAUUAGUUGUUAAAGCGGGGGAUCGCAAGACCUCGCGCCUGAAGAGGAGCCUGCGGCAGAUUAGCUAGUUGGUGAGGUAAUGGCUCACCAAGGCUUCGAUCUGUAGCUGGUCUGAGAGGACGGCCAGCCACACUGGCACUGACACACGGGCCAGACUCCUACGGGAGGCAGCAGUGGGGAAUUUUGGGCAAUGGGCGAAAGCCUGACCCAGCAACGCCGCGUGAGGGAGGAAAUCCUUCGGGAUGUAAACCUCACAAGCAAGGGAAGAGAGCUACGGGCUGAAUAAUCCCGUAGUGCGACGGUACCUUGCGUAAGCCACGGCUAACUACGUGCCAGCAGCCGCGGUAAUACGUAGGUGGCAAGCGUUGUUCGGAAUUAUUGGGCGUAAAGGGCGCGUAGGCGGCUUGUUAAGUCGGCUGUGAAAGCCCGGGGCUCAACCCCGGAGAGUCAGCCGAUACUGGCAGGCUAGAGUACGGAAGAGGUAGCUGGAAUUCCCGGUGUAGCGGUGAAAUGCGUAGAUAUCGGGAGGAACACCUGAGGCGAAGGCGGGCUACUGGGCCGAUACUGACGCUGAGGCGCGAAAGCCAGGGGAGCGAACGGGAUUAGAUACCCCGGUAGUCCUGGCCCUAAACGAUGGACACUUGGUGUGUCGGGUAUUCCAGUCCCGAUGUGCCGGAGCUAACGCGUUAAGUGUCCCGCCUGGGGAGUACGGUCGCAAGGCUGAACUCAAGGAAUUGACGG
rnacentral:rRNA from 1 species